rnacentral:rRNA from 1 species
UGAGCCAGUACAGGAUGGACCCGCGUCUGAUUAGCUAGUUGGUAAGGUAACGGCUUACCAAGGCGACGAUCAGUAGCCGACCUGAGAGGGUGAUCGGCCACAUUGGAACUGAGACACGGUCCAAACUCCUACGGGAGGCAGCAGUGGGGAAUAUUGCACAAUGGGCGAAAGCCUGAUGCAGCAACGCCGCGUGAGUGAUGAAGGCCUUCGGGUCGUAAAACUCUGUCCUCAAGGAAGAUAAUGACGGUACUUGAGGAGGAAGCCCCGGCUAACUACGUGCCAGCAGCCGCGGUAAUACGUAGGGGGCUAGCGUUAUCCGGAUUUACUGGGCGUAAAGGGUGCGUAGGCGGUCUUUCAAGUCAGGAGUGAAAGGCUACGGCUCAACCGUAGUAAGCUCUUGAAACUGGGAGACUUGAGUGCAGGAGAGGAGAGUGGAAUUCCUAGUGUAGCGGUGAAAUGCGUAGAUAUUAGGAGGAACACCAGUUGCGAAGGCGGCUCUCUGGACUGUAACUGACGCUGAGGCACGAAAGCGUGGGGAGCAAACAGGAUUAGAUACCCUGGUAGUCCACGCUGUAAACGAUGAGUAC